UACCAGCACCCCGAGUGGUCGGGACGUUUAUUGGGCCUAAAGCAUCCGUAGCCGGUUCUACAAGCCUUCCGUUAAAUCCACCUGCUUAACAGAUGGGCUGCGGAAGAUACUAUAGAGCUAGGAGGCGGGAGAGGCAAGCGGUACUCGAUGGGUAGGGGUAAAAUCCGUUGAUCCAUUGAAGACCACCAGUGGCGAAGGCGGCUUGCCAGAACGCGCUCGACGGUGAGGGAUGAAAGCUGGGGGAGCAAACCGG
rnacentral:rRNA from 1 species